rnacentral:rRNA from 1 species
CCUACGGGUGGCAGCAGUGAGGAAUAUUGGUCAAUGGCCGGAAGGCUGAACCAGCCAUGCCGCGUGAAGGUCAGUGCCCUAUGGGCGUUAAACUUCUUUUGUGCGGGAGCAAUAAUGGUCACGUGUGGCCAGACGAGAGUACCAUAUGAAUAAGGAUCCGCUAACUCCGUGCCAGCAGCCGCGGUAAUACGGAGGAUCCGAGCGUUAACCGGAUUUAUUGGGUUUAAAGGGAGCGUAGGUGGAUUGGUAAGUUAGUUGUGAAAGUUUGCGGCUCAACCGUAAAAGUGCAGUUGAAACUGGCAGUCUUGAGUACAGUAGAGGUGGGCGGAAUUCGUGGUGUAGCGGUGAAAUGCUUAGAUAUCACGAAGAACUCCGAUUGCGAAGGCAGUUCACUGGACUGCAACUGACACUGAGGCUCGAAAGUGUGGGUAUCAAACAGGAUUAGAUACCCCUGUAGUC